CUCUUCCUCUCUUCUCAGGCAAGUAUGCAGAGCAAGAACAUGAUCGUUUCUCCGUCUCAUCAGCAGCAACCACCUCAACCGCAACUUAAAUGCCCUCGUUGCGAUUCAUCGAACACAAAGUUCUGUUACUACAACAACUACAGCCUCUCUCAGCCGCGGCACUUUUGCAAGGCUUGCAAAAGGUAUUGGACACGAGGUGGGACCCUCCGUAACGUUCCCGUAGGCGGUAGCUACCGGAAGAACAAACGUGUGAAAAGGCCAGCAACCACAACCGCAGCUUCCACGGCCUCGACGACUACUUCUUCAUCCCCUAAUAAUCCUCAUCAUCAGAUCUCCCAUUUCCCUUCCAUGAAUCAUCAUCCCUUGUUCUAUGGUUUAUCAGAUCAUGUGAGCAGUUGUAAUAGUCUUCCAAUGUUUCCAAGCCGUUUCAGUGAUCCUCCAAAGACUUCAAGUGGUUUAGAGGGUGAGUUUCCCUCAUCUGGUUUUAAUGGUCUUGGAUUAGGGCUUCCACAUCAUAUGAGUCAUGACCAAACCAUUAAUGGUAGCUUCAUCAACAGCUCUACAACAAACAAACCAUUUCUUCCCUCGAGUCUAUUUGGGUCGUCUGUAUCUUCCUCUUCAUCUACUCUUCUCCAGCAUGCACACAAGCCCAUGAACAAUAAUGGUGAGAUGAUGGGACAGUCCCAUCUCCAAACCCUAGCAUCACUUCAAGAUCUGCAUGUUGGAGGUAACAAUGAAGAUGUGAACAAAGAAGGAAAGCUUGUUGAGAUCUCCGGGGACAUGAAUGGGUUCAUGUCAUCAUCAUCCUUAGAUCCUUCAAACUACCACAACAUCUGGAAUAAUGCAAGUGUUUCCAGUGGAGCAUGGCUUGAUCCAACAAAUAAUAUCGUUGGAUCCUCCCUUACCUCCUUGAUAUAAACCAAAACUUAUUGGUUAUAACUAGCUAGGGUUUCAUCUUCAUCACUUUUUCUUUUCUGUUUUGAGAUGAGAGAAGAAGCUUGGAUCAGAGAGAUAAAAUCAACAGAUUAGGGAGGACCCGAAGUUGGCAGAUAAAGUUGGUAUACUAUUUCAUUUAGCAAUUUUUUAACAAUGUCUUGAAAUUUCAGAUACGAUUGAUUCAAAAUAAUUGGAUGGAUGUUUUCCUCUCCAAGGGAUUGAUAUAUUUCAGACGAUGGAAGUAGAUUUUUCUAACCAGUUUUUUUUCUUCAAAUUAUUAGGUAGUAAUUGGGAGCAAAAUUUUCUAAACAAAUAAUCGCAGAUUUUUUUGUUUUCUAUUUCUGCGUUAAGAAAAUAUGAUUUUUAAUUAAAAUUAAGGAAACUGAUCUUUUUUUUUUACAGAAAAUGAUGUUUAAAUUCUUGAUAUCUAAUUAUAUAGUUUAGUAAAACUAAGCCAGUGUAAGGACCAUUUCUAGUACAGAGGCAUCUUGAACAUCUAAUCUUAAUUAACAUCCAGUAGCUAUAUGUUAAGUACAACUAGAUAGAGAAAACCCUAGUGACAUCUAUAUAUACAUAAGUUAAUGAAUAGUGACACAAAUAACAAUAUUACAAAUAAAAUAUAAAAUACGGAGCUUAAAAAACAUCUGCCAAGAAUCUUUGUGCUGCAGUCUUUGAAAGUUAAAACAGUAAGUAAUAUAGCUUCACUAGCCAACAGAACUUUGUCUCUACACUGCUGGUUUCAAAAGGAUUCUCUUUUAAAGAAGUGAAGAAACAAAGAAAGAAUACAAGAUCAAAAGAGCUUAAUCAAGAAAGAUAUGUUUGGCAAUUGUGACCAAAAGAAGAAGAUGCCUAUCAUCCAGUCUCCCAAUACAAAUCCACCGGUCUCUCUCUCUCUCUCUCUCUCUCUCUCUCUCUCUCUCUCUCUCUCUCUCUCUCUCUCUCUCUCUCUCUCUCUCUCUCUCUCUCUCUAAAUAAUAUUGACCCAUUUAUCUUUUGUUUCUUAGCUUUUGGAUCCGAAUAAUAUCCUUUUGUCCUCUCUUUGUUCUCUUGCCUUUAGUUAAACCACACAAUCUAAAAACAAAAAAUUCUCUCUUCCUCUCUUCUCAGGCAAGUAUGCAGAGCAAGAACAUGAUCGUUUCUCCGUCUCAUCAGCAGCAACCACCUCAACCGCAACUUAAAUGCCCUCGUUGCGAUUCAUCGAACACAAAGUUCUGUUACUACAACAACUACAGCCUCUCUCAGCCGCGGCACUUUUGCAAGGCUUGCAAAAGGUAUUGGACACGAGGUGGGACCCUCCGUAACGUUCCC
rnacentral:lncRNA from 1 species